GCGGUAGUGGUGAAGUGGUUAACACAUCGGUUUGUGGUACCGACAUGCGUGGGUUCGAUUCCCAUCUACCGCCC
rnacentral:tRNA from 3 species